GUGCUUACUUUAGCAGCACACAUACAAAAAUUGGAAAGAUACAGAGAUUAGCAUUCCUUUUUGAAAAGUGUCAUGAACAUUUGUGAAGUAUUCCAUAGUCUU